UACAGAGGUCCCAAGCGUUGUUCGGAUUCACUGGGCGUAAAGGGUGCGUAGGCGGUCGAGUAAGUCUGACGUGAAAUCUCCGGGCCUAACCCGGAAACUGCGUUGGAAACUACUUGGCUAGAGGAAUGGAGGGGAGACUGGAAUACUUGGUGUAGCAGUGAAAUGCGUAGAUAUCAAGUGGAACACCAGUGGCGAAGGCGAGUCUCUGGACAUUUCCUGACGCUGAGGCACGAAAGCCAGGGGAGCAAACGGG
rnacentral:rRNA from 1 species